UUCCUAGACUUGUGCAAUGUUAUUUAAAAGCAUCGCUUCAGGGUGGGAACACAGCAGAGCAUUUUUUUAUGAUAUGUGCCGCAAGUAUCUGGGGAAGG
rnacentral:SRP_RNA from 1 species